AUCUACCCUUGGUCAGGUUGAAGUUCAGGUAACACUGAAUGGAGGACCGAACCGACUUACGUUGAAAAGUGAGCGGAUGAACUGAGGGUAGCGGAGAAAUUCCAAUCGAACCUGGAGAUAGCUGGUUCUCUCCGAAAUAGCUUUAGGGCUAGCCUCAAGUGAUGAUUAUUGGAGGUAGAGCACUGUUUGGACGAGGGGCCCCUCUCGGGUUACCGAAUUCAGACAAACUC
rnacentral:rRNA from 1 species